rnacentral:rRNA from 1 species
UACGUAGGUGGCAAGCGUUGUCCGGAUUUACUGGGCGUAAAGAGCGCGCAGGCGGUCGUGCAAGUCGCGUGUGAAAGCCCCCGGCUCAACUGGGGAGGGUCACGCGAUACUGCUCGACUCGAAGGCAGGAGAGGGAAGUGGAAUUCCCGGUGUAGUGGUGAAAUGCGUAGAUAUCGGGAGGAACACCUGUGGCGAAAGCGGCUCACUGGACCAUAACUGACGCUGAUGCACGAAAGCUAGGGGAGCAAACAGG